CCUACGGGGGGCAGCAGUGGGGAAUAUUGGGCAAUGGGCGAAAGCCUGACCCAGCAACGUCGCGUGAAGGAAGAAGGCUCUCGGGUUGUAAACCUCUUUUAUCAGGGACGAAGCAAGUGACGGUCCCUGAUGAAUAAGCCAUGGCUAACUACGUGCCAGCAGCUGCGGUAAUACGUAGGUGGCAAGCGUUACCCGGAUUUACUGGGUGUAAAGGGGGUGUAGGGGGGAAAGCAAGUCAGAUGUGAAAACCAUGGGCUCAACCUGUGGCCUGCAUUUGAAACUGUUGUUCUUGAGUACUGGAGAGGCAGACGGAAUUCCUGGUGUAGCGGUGAAAUGCGUAGAUAUUAGGAGGAACACCGGUGGCGAAGGCAGUAUGCUGGACAGCAACUGACGCUGAGGCGCGAAAGCGUGGGGAGCGAACAGGAUUAGAUACCCUUGUAGUC
rnacentral:rRNA from 1 species